rnacentral:rRNA from 1 species
UACAGAGGUGGCAAGCGUUGUUCGGAAUUACUGGGCGUAAAGGGCGCGUAGGCGGUCUUGUAAGUCCCGUGUGAAAUCCCUCGGCUCAACUGAGGAACUGCACGGGAAACUGCUUGGCUUGAGUUCGGGAGAGGGAAGCGGAAUUCCGGGUGUAGCGGUGAAAUGCGUAGAUAUCCGGAGGAACACCGGUGGCGAAGGCGGCUUCCUGGACCGAUACUGACGCUGAUGCGCGAAAGCUAGGGGAGCAAACGGG